CGGGGCGGGGCUCGGAGAAGGGUUGCAGUUUGACCAGCGCUUCCAGAAGCCAGGGAAUGAACGUUGACUCUUUCAGUCCUGGAGUCGGAUGCUGUCGCUUUCCCAGCUUCACAGAUGUUGAAACUGAAGAGCAGAGAGGUUAAGCUGGUGUUCUGAGUAAAUGUGGGCUUAGCGGUCGAGACCCUGGGCUUUAUGGACAGCCGAAUCUGGAGACAAGUCCUGGGUCUGUUGUUGACGGUGGACACCCCGAAUUAGUCAUGUUCCCCAUCCUGAGACUUCGCUCCUCGUCUGCCAAGUGGGAAUAGUAGUGUCUGUUUCAUAGGAUCACAUCCUACGUUGCAGGGAUGUCUGAGGACAAAUGGGGAUUCUCACUGACUUCUAGGAAUAUCCUGGGGCAGGUGAAGGCUCCGUGAAGCGGGGGCGACGUCUUCAUCAUUCAGUGACACAGAGUGGGGGCGACACGAGUAUUUGCUGUGUGACUGAGUGUGCAAGCCUCCCAGCCCUGACCUUUGGACCUGCUGUGAAGAGCUUCUAAACUGUGGAAAAUUCUGGAGUAGCUCUCAAACUUUAAUGUACAUUGUAAGGAGAAUUUUUUUUUUAACAUGCACACUCUGGGGUCUCAACCCCAGAGACUCUAUGCUUGUGAAACACAGGUGUAGCUGUAUAAGAUUUUGAUGGCUUGACCUUUCCUUGAAAGUUUCUGAAAAGAGUUGAGACAAUCUAGGUAUCACAGAAAGAGAA